AUAAGGCUUAGGUUUCUAAUAUUUGAAAAGAAGUGUUAAAUGUUUGCACAAAAAGUUUUGGCUUGGGUUAGAGUGGAGGGAAGAAGAAGAAUGGCUAGAGUCCUAAUCAUACAAGAGAUAAGGGAUAAGAGAACAAGACCACAAAUGGAGUUCCUCUCUUGAGAUCAUAUUGAUGAUCCAAGUAGCUCUCAUCCUUUGG
rnacentral:lncRNA from 1 species